AUGGCAGAAUGCUUCAAUAAGGUGCUCAAGGGUGUACGUGCAUUACCCGUGAUGGCAAUAGUUCAAUACACAUUUGACAAGAUGAAUGGAUACUUUUUAAAGUACUCAAUGGAGACGGAUAAGCAGAUUGCUGGUGAGAACAAGGAUAAGCACAAGUACAAUUUCCCACCAAAGGUUGAAGAAUGGUUGGAAUUUCAAUCACGAAAGGCAGACUCACAAAAAGCUGUACUAUAUGACGACAACGAUUGGAAGUAUGAGGUGAAAGAGCCUGGAGGAACCACAAAUGAUGGCCACCAACACGGAGGCCGGGCUUUCAAGGUCUCCCUAACACGGUGUGAUUGCAGCUGCAUGAGGCCAUCGUUGCUUCAUCUCCCAUGCUCGCACUUGUUAAACGCAUCCCGUGUUAGGAAUGUCGACGUCAGUCACCCUCUUACCAUGAGGGAGUCCGAGUUCUCAAUCAUGAUGGUAAAGAAUACAUGGGCACCACGGUUUCAGCCAUACUUCGACCAAUCACAAUGGUCGGAGUAUCACGGAGUUCAACAGUCCGGACCCAGAAUUGAAGGUCGUUAG
rnacentral:rRNA from 1 species